GAUGAACGCUGGCGGCGUGCCUAAUACAUGCAAGUCGAGCGAACGGACGAGAAGCUUGCUUCUCUGACGUUAGCGGCGGACGGGUGAGUAACACGUGGAUAACCUACCUAUAAGACUGGGAUAACUUCGGGAAACCGGAGCUAAUACCGGAUAAUAUUUUGAACCGCAUGGUUCAAAAGUGAAAGACGGUCUUGCUGUCACUUAUAGAUGGAUCCGCGCUGCAUUAGCUAGUUGGUAAGGUAACGGCUUACCAAGGCAACGAUGCAUAGCCGACCUGAGAGGGUGAUCGGCCACACUGGAACUGAGACACGGUCCAGACUCCUACGGGAGGCAGCAGUAGGGAAUCUUCCGCAAUGGGCGAAAGCCUGACGGAGCAACGCCGCGUGAGUGAUGAAGGUCUUCGGAUCGUAAAACUCUGUUAUUAGGGAAGAACAUAUGUGUAAGUAACUGUGCACAUCUUGACGGUACCUAAUCAGAAAGCCACGGCUAACUACGUGCCAGCAGCCGCGGUAAUACGUAGGUGGCAAGCGUUAUCCGGAAUUAUUGGGCGUGAAGCGCGCGUAGGCGGUUUUUUAAGUCUGAUGUGAAAGCCCACGGCUCAACCGUGGAGGGUCAUUGGAAACUGGAAAACUUGAGUGCAGAAGAGGAAAGUGGAAUUCCAUGUGUAGCGGUGAAAUGCGCAGAGAUAUGGAGGAACACCAGUGGCGAAGGCGACUUUCUGGUCUGUAACUGACGCUGAUGUGCGAAAGCGUGGGGAUCAAACAGGAUUAGAUACCCUGGUAGUCCACGCCGUAAACGAUGAGUGCUAAGUGUUAGGGGGUUUCCGCCCCUUAGUGCUGCAGCUAACGCAUUAAGCACUCCGCCUGGGGAGUACGACCGCAAGGUUGAAACUCAAAGGAAUUGACGGGGACCCGCACAAGCGGUGGAGCAUGUGGUUUAAUUCGAAGCAACGCGAAGAACCUUACCAAAUCUUGACAUCCUUUGACAACUCUAGAGAUAGAGCUUUCCCCUUCGGGGGACAAAGUGACAGGUGGUGCAUGGUUGUCGUCAGCUCGUGUCGUGAGAUGUUGGGUUAAGUCCCGCAACGAGCGCAACCCUUAAGCUUAGUUGCCAUCAUUAAGUUGGGCACUCUAAGUUGACUGCCGGUGACAAACCGGAAGAAGGUGGGGAUGACGUCAAAUCAUCAUGCCCCUUAUGAUUUGGGCUACACACGUGCUACAAUGGACAAUACAAAGGGCAGCGAAACCGCGAGGUCAAGCAAAUCCCAUAAAGUUGUUCUCAGUUCGGAUUGUAGUCUGCAACUCGACUACAUGAAGCUGGAAUCGCUAGUAAUCGUAGAUCAGCAUGCUACGGUGAAUACGUUCCCGGGUCU
rnacentral:rRNA from 1 species